rnacentral:tRNA from 1 species
GUUUCCGUGGUGUAGCGGUUAUCACGUGCGCCUCACACGCGCAAGCUAGGUCCCCGGUUCGAUCCCGGGCGGAAACA